rnacentral:rRNA from 1 species
GACGAACGCUGGCGGCGUGCCUAAUACAUGCAAGUAGAACGCACAGUUUAUACCGUAGCUUGCUACACCAUAGACUGUGAGUUGCGAACGGGUGAGUAACGCGUAGGUAACCUGCCUGGUAGCGGGGGAUAACUAUUGGAAACGAUAGCUAAUACCGCAUAAUAUUGAUUAUUGCAUGAUAAUUGAUUGAAAGAUGCUAUUGCAUCACUACCAGAUGGACCUGCGUUGUAUUAGCUAGUAGGUGGGGUAACGGCUCACCUAGGCGACGAUACAUAGCCGACCUGGGAGGGUGAUCGGCCACACUGGGACUGAGACACGGCCCAGACUCCUACGGGAGGCAGCAGUAGGGAAUCUUCGGCAAUGGACGAAAGUCUGACCGAGCAACGCCGCGUGAGUGAAGAAGGUUUUCGGAUCGUAAAGCUCUGUUGUAAGAGAAGAACGGGUGUGAGAGUGGAAAGUUCACACUGUGACGGUAUCUUACCAGAAAGGGACGGCUAACUACGUG